rnacentral:rRNA from 1 species
GAUGAACGCUGGCGGCGUGACUAAUACAUGCAAGUCGAGCGAACAGAUGAGGAGCUUGCUCCUCUGACGUUAGCGGCGGACGGGUGAGUAACACGUGGAUAACCUACCUAUAAGACUGGGAUAACUUCGGGAAACCGGAGCUAAUACCGGAUAAUAUAUUGAACCGCAUGGUUCAAUAGUGAAAGACGGUUUUGCUGUCACUUAUAGAUGGAUCCGCGCCGCAUUAGCUAGUUGGUAAGGUAACGGCUUACCAAGGCAACGAUGCGUAGCCGACCUGAGAGGGUGAUCGGCCACACUGGAACUGAGACACGGUCCAGACUCCUACGGGAGGCAGCAGUAGGGAAUCUUCCGCAAUGGGCGAAAGCCUGACGGAGCAACGCCGCGUGAGUGAUGAAGGUCUUCGGAUCGUAAAACUCUGUUAUUAGGGAAGAACAAAUGUGUAAGUAACUAUGCACGUCUUGACGGUACCUAAUCAGAAAGCCACGGCUAACUACGUG